AGAUUAAACACGUCAAAACAUUAGAGCCACGACGCACUGGUAUCCCUACUGUCGAACUAGCAUUUCUGAAGGACAUCCUUGAAAAUGCUGGUUUGAGAAAAUGAAGAUAUUGAAGGUUGAGUAUUGUGGCAAGAUAUUGACGCGUAGGGAAAAUGAUGGACAUCAUGUUAUGAUUCCAAAGUCAAGGAAAUGGGCAACAAAGAAUCAAAUUUUUAACGGGAUCAUAGUGUCUUUGUAACAUCAAAUGUUGAAUUUCUUGUAAAUACUUUAUGUUGAAUUCGUAAAAUUGGUAAACCGACAAUUUCGAUAUUAGUUGGUUUUUAUCAACUUGUAAUGAUUCAUUUGCUUGAAGUUUUAACCUUGUUUGAAGUUUAUUUUGACGAAUAGACUCGUGAUGUGAUA